CCAGCAGCCGCGGUAAUACGUAGGGUGCGAGCGUUAAUCGGAAUUACUGGGCGUAAAGCGUGCGCAGGCGGUUUUGUAAGUCAGAUGUGAAAUCCCCGGGCUCAACCUGGGAACUGCAUUUGAGACUGCAAGACUGGAGUUUGGCAGAGGGGGGUGGAAUUCCACGUGUAGCAGUGAAAUGCGUAGAGAUGUGGAGGAACACCGAUGGCGAAGGCAGCCCCCUGGGCCAAUACUGACGCUCAUGCACGAAAGCGUGGGGAGCAAACAGGAUUAGAUACCCUGGUAGUCCACGCCCUAAACGAUGUCAACUAGGUGUUGGGAGGGUUAAACCUUUUAGUGCCGUAGCUAAC
rnacentral:rRNA from 1 species